UACGUAGGGUGCGAGCGUUGUCCGGAAUUAUUGGGCGUAAAGAGCUCGUAGGCGGUGUGUCGCGUCGGCCGUGAAAACUUGCAGCUUAACUGUGGGCGUGCGGUCGAUACGGGCAUCACUGGAGUUCGGCAGGGGAGACUGGAAUUCCUGGUGUAGCGGUGGAAUGCGCAGAUAUCAGGAGGAACACCGGUGGCGAAGGCGGGUCUCUGGGCAGUAACUGACGCUGAGGAGCGAAAGCGUGGGGAGCGAACAGG
rnacentral:rRNA from 1 species